rnacentral:rRNA from 1 species
AUUGAACGCUGGCGGCAUGCCUUACACAUGCAAGUCGAACGGCAGCACGGGAGCAAUCCUGGUGGCGAGUGGCGAACGGGUGAGUAAAGUAUCGGAACGUGCCCAGUCGUGGGGGAUAACGUAGCGAAAGUUACGCUAAUCCCGCAUACGAUCUAUGGAUGAAAGCGGGGGAUCGCAAGACCUCGCGCGAUUGGAGCGGCCGAUAUCAGAUUAGGUAGUUGGUGGGGUAAAGGCUCACCAAGCCGACGAUCUGUAGCUGGUCUGAGAGGACGACCAGCCACACUGGGACUGAGACACGGCCCAGACUCCUACGGGAGGCAGCAGUGGAGAAUUUUGGACAAUGGGCGAAAGCCUGAUCCAGCCAUGCCGCGUGCAGGAUGAAGGCCUUCGGGUUGUAAACUGCUUUUGUACGGAACGAAAAGGUUUGGGCUAAUAAGCUGAGCUCAUGACGGUACCGUAAGAAUAAGCACCGGCCAACUACGUGCCAGCCGCCGCCGUAA